CCAGGGCGCAUGCGCUCCCUGCUCAGUAGGGCGGUGGUAGGGUAAACCUGGCUGUGAUUCCCUCCCUGCACAUUCCUCUCGCCUCCCCCAGUUGCGAGUGACACAUUACGCAGAGCGGGUGUGCGGGCGGCAGAUUCACCACGGGGAAGUAAAUAGGGUUUGGACAUCAAGACCGCUUGGGCGCUCUCAAGAAAUGUCAAGAAAACACACUUUCAGGGAAACAGGUUAGAUUCAAGUUAAAUUUUAUCUGAUCCUAUUCUAAGGGCCAAUUUUUAUUGCCAUGUGGGAAAACUUGCCUAUCCAGUUUGGCAGGUAUUUGGAGACCAUAAGCAGAAUCUUCGAAUAUGCUGCCAUGAUCUUCCACCUAAAUGAAUCUGACCUCUUGUGGGUAGUCUCAUUAUUAACAUGCAAGGGGUGGAAUUUAAAUUCUAUUUGCUAUUUUUUGGCAUGUCUUGACACUGUCAGUUUAUGUUUUAAUUUGUGAUUAUAAAAUCUAUGUGGAAAUACUGCGAGGCUUUGUCAGGCACAUUUAUUCAUUAGAAAAAUACUAUGGAGAAGCGGUAGCCUCUUUUGUAGACAAGGCUGUAACCAGCUUUCUAUUUACUCAGCCAACUGUGUCCCCGGCACCAUUUCCCAAAGUCAUAAAAAAAGUUCCUGUCUGCAUCAUAUUCAUAAACCCAUCACCAUAUCCUCAUUUAAAUUCCCACUUAAAGCCUUCUAUGAUUUACUUGUGAUAGCAGCACAUACCUAUAUCCAAAAACUAAAAGAACAGUGAUUAUAUAUAAAGUAUGUGCAAUGCUGUAAGAUUUGCUUUCUAAAGUAUGCACCAAGUCUUAAAAAUUAGCACAUCAUAGGAGAGUAGAUUUGGGCAAAAGGUAAUUUUUUUGGUCUGGCUCUCGUUAGGCAAGUUGUAAGCUAAGUUCUGUUAAACUGUUCCCUAAAUAUGAGGAAAACUUGCAAAAUGGCAUAAUAUGGAUUCACUUAGGUUUCAAACAGUCCUAUAGUUUAAACAAAUGCACUGAAAAAAGUUUGUAUUUGUAAACAUUUAUUU